AGACCAAGGUGUAGACUCACCUGUUAAAAUUGCUGCCAACAGCAAUCAAUGCAGGAAAGUAGUUUUGGAGUUACAGUCAGCCUCCGAUGAUCUUGCGGCGUUGGGUGAGUCAUCAGACCAUCCGGUAGUCAUAAGUAGCAGCAGUGAUGAAGAAGAAGACGUUAAAGAGAAGGAUGAGUAUAUUUAUAUUUUUGAAAGUGAUGAAGAACCUGAAAGUGAUGAAGAAUGUUAUUUCCAGAA